GGCUGGGUAGCUCAGUUGGUUAGAGCGUGGCACUCAUAACGCCAAGGUCGCGGGUUCAAUUCCCGCCCCCGCCA
rnacentral:tRNA from 1 species